rnacentral:misc_RNA from 1 species
GGAAUUUGACCUGAUAAUAAAUUGUAACUUAAGUCCAAACUUUCGAGGGAAAACAAAUUUGCCAAAGAAGAAGGAAUGGAGCCUGUUAGAAAGUUGUUGUACAAAUCGAGUACUUCCAAAGCUCGCAGUUGUCCCAGACUCUCUGGGAUGGAUCCAUUUAACGAGUUGCGUGAAAGAACUCUGAUCAUCAUAGUCAUUGAAUUCAUUUAUCAUUCACUUCUUCUUUAGGCAAUGCCGGAAUAACCCCUGAUGUGAGACCUGCAGAACCAAGUUCAAAUACUAGAACAAGAAAGAGGAAGGUGAGGAGGAAAACAAACUUAGUAGCCAUUUUGCAGCUCAUCAUGUGCUCUUUCCCAGCAAUCUUUC